UAGAGUUUGAUCCUGGCUCAGGACGAACGCUGGCGGCGUGCUUAACACAUGCAAGUCGAACGGUGAAGCUCCAGCUUGCUGGAGUGGAUCAGUGGCGAACGGGUGAGUAACACGUGAGCAACCUGCCCCUGACUCUGGAAUAAGCGCUGGAAACGGCGUCUAAUACUGGAUAUGAGAAGGGUCCGCAUGGACACUUUCUGGAAAGUUUUUCGGUUGGGGAUGGGCUCGCGGCCUAUCAGCUUGUUGGUGAGGUAAUGGCUCACCAAGGCGACGACGGGUAGCCGGCCUGAGAGGGCGACCGGCCACACUGGGACUGAGACACGGCCCAGACUCCUACGGGAGGCAGCAGUGGGGAAUAUUGCACAAUGGGCGAAAGCCUGAUGCAGCGACGCCGCGUGAGGGAUGACGGCCUUCGGGUUGUAAACCUCUUUCAGCAGGGAAGAAGCGAAAGUGACGGUACCUGCAGAAGAAGCACCGGCUAACUACGUGCCAGCAGCCCCGGUCAA
rnacentral:rRNA from 1 species